rnacentral:tRNA from 2 species
CGGGAUGUAGCGCAGCUUGGUUAGCGCACCUGCUUUGGGAGCAGGGGGUCGAGAGUUCGAAUCUCUCCAUCCCGACCA